rnacentral:misc_RNA from 1 species
GAUGAAGAACGUAGCGAAAUGCGAAACGUAAUGUGAAUUGCAGAAUCCCAGUGAAUCAUCGAAUCUUUGAACGCACCUUGCGCUCCGUGGUAUUCCGCGGAGCAUGCCUGUCUGAGUGUCGCGCUCCCCUCUCACCCGCCCCACUCUUCUCGGAGAAUGGACGGCGGCGUGGACCGUGGCUCCCGCGCUCCGGCGCAGCCCGGCCGGCCAGUCUCGCAAGAGGCCCGGCGGCCGCGAGCCGAAUUCGCACACUCUCGAGGCCCUGUCGAACGGCGAGCCCUUGUUGUAAUCCAACCUCGAGGGCGAUCCGGACGAAAGACCUCUUCAGACUUUCGACCUCAGAUCAGGCAGGACGACCCGCUGAACUUAAGCAUAUCAAUAAGCGGAGGA